rnacentral:misc_RNA from 1 species
GGGGACCAAUAUGGCAUAUUCAGGUCAAAACCAAACCCAAGACUAUGUAUAGGGCUAUCAAAAACUCACAGGCAAUUCUAGCAAACCUCCACAAAAGGAGGAUGCCUAGUUCUUGUUGCAGCCCAAUUUGUGAAGAGAAAACUACUUUUUCUGCACAAUAUGCAAAAACAACUCUGUAAUAUGCUAGCAAUUUAGGGAAGCAUCCUGAUGGAAAUAGUUCUGUCUCAAUGAUGCGUUGCUGAAAUAUCCUCUCUUCUAGUGGAAGAAUCUUUGGCUCUCUAGGCUGCAAUCCAAAGUUAGCAUUCGAUCUACAUGUCCUAAAGGCUCGUUUGACAGAUUAUUAUGCUGUCAAAGCUAUCCAUAGUCAUUCACAGAGUAGCUGUCAGGAAACCCAAGAUUCUAACCCACCUCUUAUGUUGGGCUCUUUGCUGUAUUUUGCGUCUCCAUUCUUCCAACUUCCAAGGAAACACAACAAACACGCCCAAUUGAUGUUUAUGAAAAACCUCGGCCCCGUUUCCUUCACUUACCUUGACACGUGGAAAUCAUCUGAUUAAGGUUGGCUCAGCUGGAAUAUAUAUAUAUAUCUCCCU